UGAGGAAUAUUGGUCAAUGGACGCAAGUCUGAACCAGCCAAGUAGCGUGCAGGAUGACGGCCCUAUGGGUUGUAAACUGCUUUUAUAUGGGGAUAAAGUGGGGAACGUGUUCCCUUUUGCAGGUACCAUAUGAAUAAGGACCGGCUAAUUCCGUGCCAGCAGCCGCGGUAAUACGGAAGGUUCGGGCGUUAUCCGGAUUUAUUGGGUUUAAAGGGAGCGUAGGCCGUUUGGUAAGCGUGUUGUGAAAUGUAGGAGCUCAACUUCUAGAUUGCAGCGCGACCUGUCAGACUUAAGUGCGCACAACGUAGGAGGAAUUCAUGGUGUAGCGGUGAAAUGCUUAGAUAUAAUGAGAACUCCGAUUGCGAAGGCAGCUUACGGGAGCGCAACUGACGCUGAAGCUCGAAGGUGCGGGUAUCGAACAGG
rnacentral:rRNA from 1 species